rnacentral:snRNA from 1 species
AGCUUUGCACAGAGGCAGUAUCAUAGCCAAUGAGGUUUAUCUGAGACACUAUUAUUGACAAUUGUCCAAACAAUGCUGCUAACCUUUUUUGAUAUCAGAGGAAUUGUUCAUUAGGAAUUUGUAACAACUGGACAGUU